rnacentral:rRNA from 1 species
AUGCCAACUAAUUUCUUCGUAGCAGGUGAGUAUGAUCGCAGCAGCUACGGAAGGUCAGGCACAGGCAGUGACGAAGGCGAGUACAACAAGACCAGCAAGGAAGACUAUGGCCGCAGCAGCGAUGAAUACAGCCAUGGUACCGGCGGUUUCAACAAAUCCAGCAACGACAACAAUGAUGGUGGGUACAAGAACACCGACACGGACGACUACAGUAGCAGUGGCGGCUACAACAAGUCCAGCACUGACAAUUUCACUGGCGGCUUGAACAAAUCUAGCACUGAUGACUACACUGGCGGUGGCAGCUACAACAAAACUGGUGCCGACGACUACACUGCCGGUGGCGACUACAAGAAGUACAGCACCGAAGAUUUUAGUGGCGGCCACAACAAGUCUAGCACAGACGACUAUGAUGGUGGCUACAAGAACUCCAGUGCUGAUGCCGUCUAUGGCGAAGGCGGUUACAAGAAACCAAGCACCGAGGACUCCUCCGCGUACAACAAAUCAAGCAUCGAGGAGGACUACAGCAGCGGCAAGAACACCCCCAACACUGAUGACUACGACGGCAGUGGCUACAACAAGUCCAGCACUGAUGACGACUACGAUGGCUACAAGAAGGCCGGCGCCGACGAGUACAGUGGUGGCUACAGCAAGUCCGGCGCCGAUGGGUAUGCCACUCGAGCAGGCAAGACCGGCUCUGAUGAUUACUAG